GAGACCCCGUCUGGUAAACACGGCUGCAGCAAAAGAAAGUGUGGCAACACACAUCUGCCAACAGUGUUGGAGCAGUCCAGCAGUUAUCCGGUGCAGUGACUGUCGACCACGCCCCUUCUUCUGUGCUGAAUGUGACAUCAGCAUGCACACCAGACAUGUCCUCCACAAUAGAGAUGCCAUGACUGCUGGAUUCUUCCAGCCAUUGCCUCCAACAACUGUCGUGGUGGAUAAAGCGCUUUCCCAAUGUGGCAUACCAAGCCACUUGGAGUGCUGCAGUGGCCGACCUAAACAGCAGUGACUACUGGCCGGCAGCUCUUCAGUUUGCCACAAUUUAUACUACCGAUAUAUUUUUCUCAUUCGAGGAAAUGAAGAUGGUGGCACCAGGACUGUCCUGCCAAGCAUUUUUAAGAAUGCUGGAUCAGUGAACUUGUUCGCUUUGGUCGUAUUGGCAAGAUCUCUGCAGACAGUUUUCAGAAAAGUUUUUUUUGAGUGGGAGGCUGUGCGAUUUGAGGUGGACAGUAUAUGCAAGGAAGAGCCCUUCAUCUGCCCUGCAUGCUCCACAAAUACAGGUCCUUCUCAAAAA
ensembl:lncRNA